UACGGGGGGGGCAAGCGUUGUUCGGAAUUACUGGGCGUAAAGGGCUCGUAGGUGGCCAACUAAGUCAGACGUGAAAUCCCCAGGCUCAACUUGGGAACUGCGUCUGAUACUGGAUGGCUUGAAUUCGGGAGAGGGAUGCAGAAUUCCAGGUGUAGCGGUGAAAUGCGUAGAUAUCUGAAGGAAUACCGGUGGCGAAGGCGGCAUCCUGGACCGAGAUUGACACUGAUGAGCGAAAGCUAGGGGAGCAAACGGG
rnacentral:rRNA from 1 species